rnacentral:rRNA from 1 species
GGCUUGUUGAUUAUAAUUUCAGGUCAGGCCUGCCCACUGAGUAGUUAAAUGGCCGCGGUAUAUUGACCGUGCAAAGGUAGCAUAAUCACUAGUUUUUUAAUUGAAAGCUUGUAUGAAAGGUUUAAUGAGAAAGUUUCUGUCUCUUUAAAAAUUAAUUAGAAUUUUAUUUUUAAGUAAAAAAGCUUAAAUUUACAUAGAAGACGAGAAGACCCUAUAGAGUUUUAUAUUUACAUAUAAAGUUUAAAUUUGAAGGAAUAUAAGGUUUAUUUUAUUUGAAAUUAUUUUGUUGGGGUGAUAGGAAAAUAAAAUAAACUUUUCUUGUAUUAAAACAUUUAUUUAUGAAAACAUGAUCCUAAGUAUUAGAUUACAAGAUAAAAUUACCUUAGGGAUAACAGCGUAAUUUCUUCUAGAGUUCUUAUCGAUGAAGGAGCUUGCGACCUCGAUGUUGGAUUAAAGUUAAUAGCUGGUGGAGAAGUUAGCUAAUUAGGUCUGUUCGACC